GUGUCAGCCGCCGCGGUAAUACAGAGGUCCCGAGCGUUGUUCGGAUUCAUUGGGCGUAAAGGGUGCGUAGGCGGCGGAGUAAGUCAGAUGUGAAAUCCCGGAGCUCAACUCCGGAACUGCAUUUGAUACUGCUUUGCUAGAGUACUGGAGAGGAGACUGGAAUUUACGGUGUAGCAGUGAAAUGCGUAGAGAUCGUAAGGAAGGCCAGCGGCGAAGGCGAGUCUCUGGACAGUUACUGACGCUGAGGCACGAAGGCCAGGGGAGCAAACGGGAUUAGAUACCCCAGUAGUCC
rnacentral:rRNA from 1 species